GGUGUAGGCGGAUUUGUAAGUCAGGUGUGAAAUCCCAGGGCUCAACCCUGGAAGUGCACUUGAUACUGCGGAUCUUGAGUGUGGUAGAGGUUACUGGAAUUGUUGGUGUAGUGGUGAAAUACGUAGAUAUCAACAGGAAUACCGGAGGCGAAGGCGAGUAACUGGGCCAACACUGACGCUGAGACCCGAAAGCGUGGGGAUCAAACA
rnacentral:rRNA from 1 species